GAGUAGCGAAAGACGGGUGAGAAUCCCGUCCACCGAUUGACUAAGGUUUCCAGAGGAAGGCUCGUCCGCUCUGGGUUAGUCGGGUCCUAAGCUGAGGCCGACAGGCGUAGGCGAUGGAUAACAGGUUGAUAUUCCUGUACCACCUAUAAUCGUUUUAAUCGAUGGGGGGACGCAGUAGGAUAGGCGAAGCGUGCGAUUGGAUUGCACGUCUAAGCAGUAAGGCUGAGUAUUAGGCAAAUCCGGUACUCGUUAAGGCUGAGCUGUGAUGGGGAGAAGACAUUGUGUCUUCGAGUCGUUGAUUUCACACUGCCGAGAAAAGCCUCUAGAUAGAAAAUAGGUGCCCGUACCGCAAACCGACACAGGUAGUCAAGAUGAGAAUUCUAAGGUGAGCGAGCGAACUCUCGUUAAGGAACUCGGCAAAAUGACCCCGUAACUUCGGGAGAAGGGGUGCUCUUUAGGGUUAACGCCCAGAAGAGCCGCAGUGAAUAGGCCCAAGCGACUGUUUAUCAAAAACACAGGUCUCUGCUAAACCGUAAGGUGAUGUAUAGGGGCUGACGCCUGCCCGGUGCUGGAAGGUUAAGAGGAGUGGUUAGCUUCUGCGAAGCUACGAAUCGAAGCCCCAGUAAACGGCGGCCGUAACUAUAACGGUCCUAAGGUAGCGAAAUUCCUUGUCGGGUAAGUUCCGACCCGCACGAAAGGCGUAACGAUUUGGGCACUGUCUCAACGAGAGACUCGGUGAAAUCAUAGUACCUGUGAAGAUGCAGGUUACCCGCGACAGGACGGAAAGACCCCGUGGAGCUUUACUGUAGCCUGAUAUUGAAAUUCGGCACAGCUUGUACAGGAUAGGUA
rnacentral:rRNA from 1 species